rnacentral:rRNA from 1 species
CCAUUAGUUUAUGGUUAUAUUUAUGUCUUAGUUUUUAACUAAAAUAGUUUGGCAGCAAGCGAAUCUUGUCGGGGGAAGGUGUGUCGUAAAGGAUGAUCCGCCUAUUAAUUUACUUUCGUUAUGUUGGUGUAUAUCUGGUUUUAUAUUGUUGUUUAAUAAUUUAGAUUGUGUAUAUUUAUUUAAGCCAAGUCUAUGUGCUGCAUACGUAAGUGCUCAUGCGUUACAUUUAUAAAUAUUUAUUUGUAAAAAUAGAUUAUUUAGGACUCGAUAGUAACAUUUAAUUAAUUUGUAAAUGUGAAUUGAGUUUAGCUU